CCUACGGGUGGCAGCAGUGGGGAAUAUUGGACAAUGGGGGGAACCCUGACCCAGCGACGCCGCGUGAGUGAAGAAGUCUUUCGGUAUGUAAAGCUCUAUCAGCAGCGAAGAAAAUGACUGUAUCUGACUAAGAAGCCCCGGCUAACUACGUGCCAGCAGCCACGGUAAUACGUAGGGCGCAAGCGUUCUCCGGAUUUACUGGGUGUAAAGGGAGCGGAGACGGGGCAGCAAGUCUGAUGUGAAAGCGUGGGGCGUAACCCCGGGAUUGCAUUGGAAACUUGUGCUCUGGAGUACAGGAGAGGUAGGCGGAAUUCCUAGUGUAGCGGUGAAAUGCGUAGAUAUUAGGAGGAACACCAGUGGCGAAGGCGGCUUACUGGACUGGAACUGACGUUGAGGCUCGAAAGCGUGGGGAGCAAACAGGAUUAGAUACCCGUGUAGUC
rnacentral:rRNA from 1 species